AAGCGAAGUGGCGACAUGGAGCAAAUCCCAAAAAUAACGUCCCAGUUCGGAUUGUAGUCUGCAACUCGACUACAUGAAGCUGGAAUCGCUAGUAAUCGCGGAUCAGAAUGCCGCGGUGAAUACGUUCCCGGGUCUUGUACACACCGCCCGUCACACCAUGGGAGUCAGUAACGCCCGAAGCCGGUGACCCAACCAGGAAUGGAGGGAGCCGUCGAAGGCGGGAUUGGUAACUGGGGUGAAGUCGUAACAAGGUACC
rnacentral:rRNA from 1 species